UACGAAGGGGGCUAGCGUUGCUCGGAAUGACUGGGCGUAAAGGGCGCGUAGGCGGUUUGCACAGUCAGAUGUGAAAUUCCUGGGCUCAACCUGGGGGCUGCAUUUGAUACGUGUAGACUUGAGUGGGGAAGAGGGUCGUGGAAUUCCCAGUGUAGAGGUGAAAUUCGUAGAUAUUGGGAAGAACACCGGUGGCGAAGGCGGCUCACUGGCCCGAAACUGACGCUCAUGCACGACAGCGUGGGGAUCAAACAGG
rnacentral:rRNA from 1 species